rnacentral:rRNA from 1 species
UACAGAGGUCUCAAGCGUUGUUCGGAUUCAUUGGGCGUAAAGGGUGUGUAGGUGGCGCCGUAAGUCGGGUGUGAAAUCUCGGGGCUUAACUCCGAAACUGCAUUCGAUACUGCGGUGCUUGAGGACUGGAGAGGAGACUGGAAUUCAUGGUGUAGCAGUGAAAUGUGUAGAGAUCAUGAGGAAGACCAGUGGCGAAGGCGGGUCUCUGGACAGUUCCUGACACUGAGACACGAAGGCCAGGGGAGCAAACGGG